rnacentral:tRNA from 1 species
AAUGAAAUGCCUGAUUAAAGGGUUAUUUUGAUAGAAUAAAUCAAGUAAAGUUUUAUUUACUUUCAUUA